CCCCCCGCCUUUUUUUAAAAAACAUGUUUGAGUGAAUUAGUAAUUAUGUCUAGCCCACCCGAAGAGUUUAAGAAGGGCCGCGGUAAUUUGGCCCUAAGAAGGUAGCAUCGUCAGUAGUCUAUUAAAAGGAGGGAAGAAAGAAUGGGUGGAAAUAUUACAAGUUUUCUCUUAAAUUUUGGUUGAAUUUUAUUUUUUAGUCAAAAAGCUUAAAUUUUUUUGGGGGACGAUAAGACCCUAUAAAUCUUAAUAUUUUUUUUUAUUUUAAUUAUAUAGAUUAAUUAAAUUUUAAUAAAUAAAAAUAUUUUAUUGGGGAGAUAUUAAAAUUUAAAAAACUUUUAAUUUUUAAAAACAUAAAUUUAUGAAUAUUUGAUCCAUUAAUAAUGGAUAAAAAAAUAAGGUAACUUAGGGAUAACAGGGUAAUUUUUUCGGAGAGUUUAUAUCGAUCAAAAGGAGUGGGACCUUGAUGGUGGAAUAAGAAUAUUAUAUGUUUGAGGUGUAGCCGUUCAGAAUGGUAAGUCUGUCGACCUAAUU
rnacentral:rRNA from 1 species